GCGACGAUCUAUAGCUGGUCUGAGAGGAUGAUCAGCCACACUGGGACUGAGACACGGCCCAGACUCCUACGGGAGGCAGCAGUGGGGAAUCUUGCACAAUGGGCGAAAGCCUGAUGCAGCCAUGCCGCGUGAAUGAUGAAGGCCCUAGGGUUGUAAAAUUCUUUCAUCAGGGACGAUAAUGACGGUACCUGAAGAAGAAGCCCCGGCUAACUUCGUGCCAGCAGCCGCGGUAAUACGAAGGGGGCUAGCGUUGUUCGGAAUUACUGGGCGUAAAGCGCGCGUAGGCGGACUAUUAAGCCAGAUGUGAAAUCCCGGGGCUCAACCUCGGAACUGCAUUUGGAACUGGUAGUCUAGAGGCCAGGAGAGGUUAGUGGAAUGCCGAGUGUAGAGGUGAAAUUCGUAGAUAUUCGGUGGAACACCAGUGGCGAAGGCGACUGACUGGACUGGUACUGACGCUGAGGUGCGAAAGUGUGGGGAGCCAACAGGAUUAGAUACCCUGGUAGUCCACACCGUAAACGAUGAGUGCUAGUUGUCGGCAGGCAUGCCUGUCGGUGACGCAGCUAACGCAUUAAGCACUCCGCCUGGGGAGUACGGCCGCAAUGUUACAACUCAACAGAAAUUGACGGGGGGCCGGCACAAGCGGUGGAGCCAUGUGGGUUUAAUUCGAAGCGAACGCGCAGAACCUUACCUACCCCCUUGACAUGCCCAGGUUUGGUCGCCAGAGAUGGCUUCCUUGAUUCGUUCGCCGGUGCACAGGUGCUGCAUGGCUGUCGUCAGCUCGUGUCGUGAGAUGUUGGGUUAAGUCCCGCAACGAGCGCAACCCUCAUCCUUAGUUGCCAUCAGGUUUGGCUGGGCACUCUAAGGAAACUGCCGGUGGCAAGCCGGAGGAAGGUGGGGAUGACGUCAAGUCCUCAUGACCCUUACGGGUAGGGCUACACACGUGCUACAAUGGCAGUGACAAUGGGAUAAUCCCCAAAAACUGUCUCAGUUCGGAUUGUCGUCUGCAACUCGACGGCAUGAAGUUGGAAUCGCUAGUAAUCGUGGAUCAGCAUGCCACGGUGAAUACGUUCCCGGGCAUUGUACACACCGCCCGUCACAUCA
rnacentral:rRNA from 1 species